rnacentral:rRNA from 1 species
UACGGAGGGUGCAAGCGUUAUCCGGAUUCACUGGGUUUAAAGGGUGCGUAGGAGGGCAGGUAAGUCAGUGGUGAAAUCUCCGGGCUUAACCCGGAAACUGCCGUUGAUACUAUUUGUCUUGAAUACCGUGGAGGUGAGCGGAAUAUGUCAUGUAGCGGUGAAAUGCUUAGAUAUGACAUAGAACACCAACUGCGAAGGCAGCUUACUACACAAUGAUUGACGCUGAGGCACGAAAGCGUGGAGAUCAAACAGG